AUUGAACGCUGGCGGCGUGCCUAACACAUGCAAGUCGAGCGGUAACAGGUGUAGCAAUACAUGCUGACGAGCGGCGAACGGGUGAGUAAUGCUUCGGAAUCUGCCCAUGUAGUGGGGAAUAACCAGCCGAAAGGUUGGCUAAUACCGCAUACGACCCUUGUCCACAAGGCAAAGGUGAAAGCAGGGGAUCGCAAGACCUUGCGCUAUUGGAUGAGCCGAAGUCGGAUUAGCUAGUUGGUAGGGUAACGGCCUACCAAGGCGACGAUCCGUAGCUGGUCUGAGAGGACGACCAGCCACACUGGGACUGAGACACGGCCCAGACUCCUAC
rnacentral:rRNA from 1 species